GGGGAAUAUUGGGCAAUGGGGGAAACCCUGACCCAGCAACGCCGCGUGAAGGAAGAAGGCUUUCGGGUUGUAAACUUCUUUUACCAGGGACGAAGGACGUGACGGUACCUGGAGAAAAAGCAACGGCUAACUACGUGCCAGCCGCCGCGGUAAUACGUAGGUUGCAAGCGUUGUCCGGAUUUACUGGGUGUAAAGGGCGUGUAGGCGGAGAAGCAAGUUGGGAGUGAAAUCCAUGGGCUCAACCCAUGAACUGCUCUCAAAACUGUUAUUCUAGAGUAUGGGAGAGGCAAGCGGAAUUCCUAGUGUAGCGGUGAAAUGCGUAGAUAUUAGGAGGAACACCAGUGGCGAAGGCGGCUUGCUGGACGACAACUGACGCUGAGGCGCGAAAGCGUGGGUAGCAAACAGG
rnacentral:rRNA from 1 species